rnacentral:rRNA from 1 species
UACGUAGGGUGCAAGCGUUAAUCGGAAUUACUGGGCGUAAAGCGUGCGUAGGCGGUUCGUUAAGUGCGUCGUGAAAGCCCCGGGCUCAACCUGGGAACUGCGCUUGUUACUGGCAGACUUGAGUGUGGCAGAGGGGGGUGGAAUUCCAGGUGUAGCAGUGAAAUGCGUAGAGAUCUGGAGGAACACCGAUGGCGAAGGCAGCCCCCUGGGUUAACACUGACGCUCAUGCACGAAAGCGUGGGGAGCAAACAGG